rnacentral:rRNA from 1 species
GAUGAACGCUAGCGGCAGGCCUAAUACAUGCAAGUCGAACGAGAUUAAGAGGCUUGCUUCUUAUGAAAGUGGCGCACGGGUGCGUAACGCGUAUGCAACCUACCUUAAUCAGGGGGAUAGCCCGAAGAAAUUCGGAUUAAGACCGCAUAAAAACACAGGAUAGCAUUAUCCAAUGUUCAAAUAUUUAUAGGAUUAAGAUGGGCAUGCGUGUCAUUAGCUAGUUGGCGGGGUAACGGCCCACCAAGGCGACGAUGACUAGGGGAUCUGAGAGGAUGACCCCCCACACUGGUACUGAGACACGGACCAGACUCCUACGGGAGGCAGCAGUAAGGAAUAUUGGUCAAUGGAGGGAACUCUGAACCAGCUAUGCCGCGUGCAGGAAGACAGCCCUCUGGGUCGUAAACUGCUUUUAUUCGGGAAUAAACCUUUCUACGUGUAGGAAGCUGAAUGUACCGAAGGAAUAAGGAUCGGCUAACUCCGUG